UUAUUCAUCCACCAACAUUAUGACUCGAACACUCUUUGUGCUGGGGUUUCUGCUCAUCUGUGUCGCUGCAGAUUCUGCUGGAAAGUCUGGACUCUUGAGAAAGACUUCUUGUCCUACUCGAAGGGUGAACAGGAUUUGCCCAAUGAACUUUGCCCCUGUGUGUGGCAGUGACGGAAACACUUACUCCAAUAUGUGUGUCCUCUGCACAAAAAAGGACAUCAUGUUCGUCAGGGAGGGACGCUGUUGAUCUGUGCAGUUGAUAAAAUCAACACUAUGAAGCAAACUGGAAAAAUAUCUACUCUUGUCACAUUGUAAUAAAGUCUAAAUGUCUUCAAUCUUGUGACCUUCUGGUUGUUUUUCUCGGUAUUAUACAAUUUAUGCUGUAUGCUAGGUUAACAAGGAAGAGGCUAAAGAGUUACUAAGUAAAUAAACUUUAUAUGUAUGGCACUUUCACAGAUUAAAAAAAGGAUUUUACAGAAGUACAGAUGUAGGCAUAAAUAGAAUAGACCAGUACAGUGAGAACAGAUGAGUAGAACAAAAGUAGAACAUUUAACUAGAGAGGCUCUGGGAUAAGGACAGAGUAUUAUUUGAAGUCCCAGAAAGCUUCAUAAAUCCUGAAAUUGACAAAUAUACUUUAGUUUUUAAUAAAAACAUUUAGUAACACACUUAGCAAUACAAUAAACUACCAUGACCUUUGAGCAUUUUUACUGCACAAAAUUAAAAUUUUCUGCAGAGCAAUUGUGGUUUCUCGGCAGGUCAUAUCGACAUAUUUCAUGACUGAAAGAAGGAUGAAAUGAAAAAUGUAUAUGGGGAUUUUUAAAUAUCUGAAACCUAAGGUGAGCUAAUUUUUUUCACAUUUUUGCAGUGUUUUAAACUAUUUCCCAUUGCUCUAGGUACUUGUGAAAGGGUAGUCCAUUUAAACCACCUCUGGGCCUGUUUGGCGAAAAAGUCAGAUGAUGCCACAUAUACUAGUAUAUGUGUGUGUUCAAAUUAAACCUGUAUUGUUUAAUAUGAACAAUACGAGUUCAAAUUAAAAGUUUUAUUUCUAAGAUAGCAAAAAUUACUAAAAUAUUAUUGUUUACUUUCAACAAUUGUAAAACUAUACUCUGAAAUUACUUAAAAAUUGCAGUAUUUUAUGGGUUAUUGAUGACGCUUCCUCCACUAGCAUUACAUUGUUGUACAAAUCCAAUUUGCAUAACAGUAAAUACUAAGGGAGAAUAUGCUUAAGCACAACUAAAACAUGAUGUGAAUCUUGUUCACACUACUGUUCGCAAUCUCUUUUACAUCUUUUAAAAAUGCUUAAACUGCAGCAACCCCUGAAUGCCUGUGAGGGCACAUGUGCAGCAUUGCUUGAAAUUAAUUUAAAGGUUACCUCAAACAGCUUUUUCAAUUGCCUAGCAAUUAAAAAAGGCAAUAUUCUCCAUACAGAAAAUGUCUAGAAGCUGUCAUAAGCAACACAAAGUGUCCUAAGUAUUUAAUACAGUUGUUAUUCCUUGUGCUUUUCCACAUUAACUUAAUUCAUGGACUGAUUUAUUUACACUUUUUGUGUGUGCGUUGUUACAUAGAUGCUAUGUCAAUUUUAUAUCAGUAAUCCGACUGAAAACAUAACUACUGAGAAAAAUGUUGAUGUGCCAGCUGUACAGAAAAACAAAGUGAAGAAAAUAAACAAAAACUACAGUCGGGAGAAAUUUGUUGUCAAAACAUGAUUUUUUUUAUUAAUGUAAAGAAUAACUAUUCACAAUGGGUAACAGACUCAAACAGCUGUAAUACUUAAAAAUGUAAACAAAGAAUAAUAUUGAGAAUGAAAAGAGAAGAAUCACCACCCUCAUUCUGUCCUGCAUUUCUCACAACUAUUUCUGCUUCUCAAUUUCUUCACUUAUUUUCAUCACAUGUCUCUUAAAUACACAAGCCUUUGUUCUCUACUUCAAGUUUCUAGCAAACAUCUCACUGGGGUGGCGUAGCUUUGUUGUUGUGUCUGUUUUCCAGUGGAGAGAUUUUUUUCUUCUUUUACAUCUCUAAGUCUAAAAAAUGGAAACUAAGGCCUGCUAAGCCUGUAAAGUGCUCAAAUUCUUUAAAAAUCAGGGGUUUCAAGCAAGAGGAUAAAAUCCUCAGUUCGUAGUUAGUGGAUCCCAGAGAUAAUUGAAACCCCUUCCAAGAUUUUAUACAAGACAGAGCACCUGUAAUUACAAUCCACCAUCAAUUAAAAUCCUGGAUGAUUCUUUUUUUUUUUUUUUUAACUAUAAAGUCUUAAAAGCACAAUUGAAUUUACAUGGUCCUCGUUUUUAGUCUGGCUGGUUGUUUAGCUGCUAAAAACUGUUGUCUCAUCCUCAGUUGCAGUUAAUAGAUGUGGGCAGACUUUGGCAAUUUUUCCACAGGAUGAAUGCAACUUGCAGUCUAGUUAAGAAAAGAAGGAGAGUGCACACUAUUUUUUUUUUUUUACAACAACCCCAGUUGAUAAGAGAAACAGGAAUAUAUUUCAAACUGACCUGAUGGAUAAACGUUAUAAAACACUCGUUUGCUUUUGUUGAUCGGUCAGGGUUUAAAGUUUAGCUUUGUUUGGCACACAGACAGUUAGUUCACUCCAGUGUUAACAUCACAAAAUUGCAACUGUACAUAUUAUCCAUGCAGCACAGGCUCAGAUCUGAAGUGCUCCCAUCAUACCCUCUCAAAGGCCACAUCCAAAACAUUUACAUAUUUCAGAUCUAAGGUUCACACAAAUAGAGCAGCUGAUGACUCCACCUUGUGGCCGUGCAAAAAAAAAAAGAAAAAGAGAGAGAGAGGGCAGGAUGAGCAAAGCCAGAAGAGCAGAAUGCAUGUCUUAA